GAUGAACGCUGACAGAAUGCUUAACACAUGCAAGUCAACUUGAACUUCGGUUUGGGUGGCGGACGGGUGAGUAACGCGUAAAGAACUUGCCUCACAGAUAGGGACAACAUUUGGAAACGAAUGCUAAUACCUGAUAUUAUGAUUAUAUGGCAUCGUAUAAUUAUGAAAGCUAUAUGCGCUGUGAGAGAGCUUUGCGUCCCAUUAGCUAGUUGGAGAGGUAACGGCUCACCAAGGCGAUGAUGGGUAGCCGGCCUGAGAGGGUGAUCGGCCACAAGGGGACUGAGACACGGACCUUACUCCUACGGGAGGCAGCAGUGGGGAAUAUUGGACAAUGGACCAAGAGUCUGAUCCAGCAAUUCUGUGUGGACGAUGAAGUUUUUCGGAAUGUAAAGUGCUUUCAGUUGGGAAGAAAAAAAUGACGGUACCAACAGAAGAAGUGACGGCUAAAUACGUG
rnacentral:rRNA from 1 species